rnacentral:rRNA from 1 species
GCACAAACCAGGCCCAAGCGACUGUUUACUAAAAACACAGGUCCGUGCGAAGUCGCAAGACGAUGUAUACGGACUGACGCCUGCCCGGUGCUGGAAGGUUAAGAGGACCGGUUAGCCGCAAGGCGAAGCUGAGAAUUUAAGCCCCAGUAAACGGCGGUGGUAACUAUAACCAUCCUAAGGUAGCGAAAUUCCUUGUCGGGUAAGUUCCGACCUGCACGAAUGGCGUAACGACUUCCCAGCUGUCUCAACCGCGAACUCGGCGAAAUUGCAUUACGAGUAAAGAUGCUCGUUACGCGCAGCAGGACGGAAAGACCCCGUGACCUUUACUACAGCUUGGUAUUGGUGUUCGGUGUGGCUUGUGUAGGAUAGGUGGGAGACUUUGAAGCUUGGACGCCAGUUCAGGUGGAGUCAUUGUUGAAAUACCACUCUGGUCACUCUGGAUAUCUAACUUCGAACCGUAAUCCGGUUCAGGGACAGUGCCUGGUGGGUAGUUUAACUGGGGCGGUUGCCUCCCAAAAAGUAACGGAGGCGCCCAAAGGUUCCCUCAACCUGGUUGGCAAUCAGGUGGCGAGUGUAAGUGCACAAGGGAGCUUGACUGUGAGACUGACAGGUCGAGCAGGGACGAAAGUCGGGACUAGUGAUCCGGCAGUGGCUUGUGGAAGCGCUGUCGCUCAACGGAUAAAAGGUACCUCGGGGAUAACAGGCUGAUCUUGCCCAAGAGUCCAUAUCGACGGCAUGGUUUGGCACCUCGAUGUCGGCUCGUCGCAUCCUGGGGCUGGAGUAGGUCCCAAGGGUUGGGCUGUUCGCCCAUUAAAGCGGUACGCGAGCUGGGUUUAGAACGUCGUGAGACAGUUCGGUCCCUAUCCGCUGCGCGCGCAGGAAAUUUGAGAAGGGCUGUCCUUAGUACGAGAGGACCGGGACGGACGAACCUCUGGUGUGUCAGUUGUACUGCCAAGUGCACCGCUGAUUAGCUACGUUCGGAUGGGAUAACCGCUGAAAGCAUCUAAGCGGGAAGCUCGCUUCGAGAUGAGAUUUCCAUACACCUUGUGUGUGAGAGGCCCCCAGCCAGACCACUGGGUUGAUAGGCCGGAUGUGGAAGCGAGGACUAACGACUCGUGAAGCUGACCGGUACUAAUAGGCCGAUAACUUACACCA